GCAGGAUACGUUGGAGAUGGUUUCCACGAUAGCCUCAUAAGCUAUGUACGCAGGUUCAAGUCCUGUUCCUGCUA
rnacentral:tRNA from 1 species